rnacentral:rRNA from 1 species
GAUGAACGCUGGCGGCGUGCCUAAUACAUGCAAGUCGAGCGAACGGACGAGAAGCUUGCUUCUCUGAUGUUAGCGGCGGACGGGUGAGUAACACGUGGAUAACCUCCCUAUAAGACUGGGAUAACUUCGGGAAACCGGGGCUAAUACCGGAUAAUAUUUUGAACCGCAUGGUUCAAAAGUGAAAGACGGUCUUGCUGUCACUUAUAGAUGGAUCCGCGCUGCAUUAGCUAGUUGGUAAGGUAACGGCUUACCAAGGCAACGAUGCAUAGCCGACCUGAGAGGGUGAUCGGCCACACUGGAACUGAGACACGGUCCAGACUCCUACGGGAGGCAGCAGUAGGGAAUCUGCCGCAAUGGGCGAAAGCCUGACGGAGCAACGCCGCGUGAGUGAUGAAGGUCUUCGGAUCGUAAAACUCUGUUAUUAGGGAAGAACAUAUGUGUAAGUAACUGUGCACAUCUUGACGGUACCUAAUCAGAAAGCCACGGCUAACUACGUG